CAACAUAGUGACUGGAUUUCCAGCUAGAAAAACCCUCAUCUCUCUCCUCCCUGCAUUGUCGUUCACGUUUGUGUCGCUGCGUGGACGUGAACUGUCCUCAUGAUAACGUGACUUCACUCCCCGAGACGCAAGAAGAAAGCAAAAAUAUAUACUUCUACUUAGGAAAAUGACAAAAAUACUGUAGUAACGCACAGUGACUUUGAUAAGUAACUUUAAUCUGAUUACUGGUUUGGAAAUAGUAACGCGUUAGAUUACUCUUUACUGAAAAAAGUCCUCAGAUUGGA